CCAUUGAUUUUUUUAUUUUGAUCAUAUCUACACAUCAUAUAGAUCCGCCGACUAGUUCCGGGUUCGAGUCCCGGGCAACCCA
rnacentral:tRNA from 1 species